rnacentral:tRNA from 1 species
GGAAAUGUGGCUUAGUGGUAGAGUACUUGCCUAGUGUGCAUGAAGUCCUGGGUUCAAUUCCUCAGUACUA